rnacentral:rRNA from 1 species
CAAUAGCGUAUAUUAAAGUUGUUGCGGUUAAAAAGCUCGUAGUUGGAUUUCUGUUGAGAACGGGGGGUCCAAACCAUGUUUGUGUAUCAUCUCCGAACUCGGCAUCCUCGUGGGUUGCGUUGGUGCGCUUCAUUGCGUGCUUCGUUGCCACGACUUUUACUUUGAGGAAAUUAGAGUGUUCACGGCAGGCAGUCGCCUUGAAUAUAUUAGCAUGGAAUAAUGAUAUAGGACCUUUGUUCUAUCUUGUUGGUUCUUGGAGCGAAGGUAAUGAUUAAUAGGGACAAUUGGGGGCAUUCGUAUUAACACGCUAGAGGUGAAAUUCUUUGAUUGUGUUACGACGAACUAAUGCGAAAGCAUUUGCCAAGGAUGUUUUCAUUGAUCAAGAACGAAAGUAAGGGGAUCGAAGAUGAUUAGAUACUGU